rnacentral:rRNA from 1 species
CGUGGAGACAGGUGGUGCAUGGCUGUCGUCAGCUCGUGUCGUGAGAUGUUGGGUUAAGUCCCGCAACGAGCGCAACCCUCACCCCUAGUUGCCACCGGGUAAAGCCGAGCACUCGAGGGGAACUGCCAGCGUCAAGCUGGAGGAAGGCGGGGAUGACGUCAAGUCAUCAUGCCCCUUACGCCCUGGGCUACGCACGUGCUACAAUGGCCGGUACAAAGGGACGCGAGACUGCAAAGUGGAGCUAAUCCCAAAAAACCGGUCUAAGUUCAGAUUGCAGUCUGCAACUCGACUGCAUGAAGGAGGAAUCGCUAGUAAUCGCGCAUCAGCACGGCGCGGUGAAUACGUUCCCGGGCCUUGUACACACCGCCCGUCACACCACGAAAGCUGUCUGUACUCGAAGUCGCUGAG